GUUGUGGUGGUGGAGUUUGUUGCAGAAAUAGUAGAUUUCUGUGAUUUUCUGUUACCAACACAAGCAGAGAAAGCUGAGCGUGAUGAGGCAGUGGCGAGUGUGUCAAGUGUUAUUAAGUAUAUCUGGCCGAGUUGCAAGGUUGAGGUUUUUGGGUCAUACAGGACAGGGCUGUAUCUUCCAACAAGUGAUAUAGAUGUGGUGAUUCUGGAAUCAGGUCUCACUAAUCCACAGCUAGGUUUACGCGCACUCUCCAGGGCAUUGUCACAAAAGGGAAUUGCA